GUUUGUGGCUCAGUGGUAGAAUGCUCACCUUGCACGUGCAAGACCCUGGGUUUGAUCCUCAGCACCACA
rnacentral:tRNA from 1 species